UACAGAGGUCUCAAGCGUUGUUCGGAUUCAUUGGGCGUAAAGGGUGCGUAGGCGGCGCGGUAAGUCGGGGGUGAAAUCUCGGAGCUUAACUCCGAAACUGCAUUCGAUACUGCCGUGCUUGAGGACUGGAGAGGAGACUGGAAUUUACGGUGUAGCGGUGAAAUGCGUAGAUAUCGUAAGGAAGACCAGUGGCGAAGGCGGGUCUCUGGACAGUUCCUGACACUGAGACACGAAGGCCAGGGGAGCAAACGGG
rnacentral:rRNA from 1 species